AUACGUAGGUGGCAAGCGUUGUCCGGAAUUAUUGGGCGUAAAGCGCAUGUAGGCGGUGCCUUAAGUCUGUCGUGAAACUGCGGGGCCUAACCCCGUAUGGCGAUGGAAACUGGGGCACUUGAGUGCAGGAGAGGAAAGGGGAACUCCCAGUGUAGCGGUGAAAUGCGUAGAUAUUGGGAAGAACACCGGUGGCGAAGGCGCCUUUCUGGACUGUGUCUGACGCUGAGAUGCGAAAGCCAGGGUAGCGAACGGGAUUAGAUACCCCGGUAGUCCUGGCCGUAAACGAUGGGUACUAGGUGUGGGAGGUAUCGACCCCUUCCGUGCCGGAGUUAACGCAAUAAGUACCCCGCCUGGGGAGUACGGCCGCAAGGCUUAAACUCAAAUGAAUUGACGGGG
rnacentral:rRNA from 1 species